CAAACGGCCCUCUUUAGGGCCACAAUUGGAUGUAAUUUUUGUUUG
rfam:Bursaphelenchus xylophilus, Ka4C1 (inbred line), WGS project CADV01000000 data, contig: contig11629